GUCUUUUUGUUUAAAAUAUAAAGUCUAACCUGCCCACUGAUAAAUUAUUAAAGGGCCGCGGUAUUUUGACUGUGCAAAGGUAGCAUAAUCAUUUGUCUCUUAAUUGGAGGCUGGAAUGAAUGGUUGAAUGAAAUAUUAACUGUCUCAUAUUUAAAAAUAUAAAAAUUUAGCUUUUAAGUUAAAAGGCUUAAAUAUAUUUAAAGGACGAGAAGACCCUAUAGAUCUUUAUAUUUUAAUAAAUAUUAUAAAAUAGUAGAAUAAUUAAUAAUAUUUAUUAAAAUAUUUUAUUGGGGUGAUAGGAAAAUUAAUUAAACUUUUUUUAAUUUAAAACAUUGAUUUAUGAAAUAUUGAUCCAUUUUUAGUGAUUAUAAGAUUAAGUUACCUUAGGGAUAACAGCGUAAUUUUUUUGAAGAGUUCAUAUCGAUAAAAAAGAUUGCGACCUCGAUGUUGAAUUAAAGGUUAUUUCUAGAUGCAGAAGUUUGGAGUUUAGGUCUGUUCGACCUUUGAAUC
rnacentral:rRNA from 1 species